UGGGGAAUAUUGGACAAUGGGGGCAACCCUGAUCCAGCCAUGCCGCGUGUGUGAAGAAGGCCUUUUGGUUGUAAAGCACUUUAAGCAGUGAAGAAGACUCCAUGGUUAAUACCCAUGGACGAUGACAUUAGCUGCAGAAUAAGCACCGGCUAACUCUGUGCCAGCAGCCGCGGUAAUACAGAGGGUGCAAGCGUUAAUCGGAAUUACUGGGCGUAAAGCGAGCGUAGGUGGCUUGAUAAGUCAGAUGUGAAAGCCCCGGGCUUAACCUGGGAACGGCAUCUGAUACUGUUAGGCUAGAGUAGGUGAGAGGAAGGUAGAAUUCCAGGUGUAGCGGUGAAAUGCGUAGAGAUCUGGAGGAAUACCGAUGGCGAAGGCAGCCGUCUGGCAUCAUACUGACACUGAGGUUCGAAAGCGUGGGUAGCAAACA
rnacentral:rRNA from 1 species